CCUACGGGAGGCAGCAGUGGGGAAUAUUGCACAAUGGGCGAAAGCCUGAUGCAGCGACGCCGCGUGAGGGAUGACGGCCUUCGGGUUGUAAACCUCUUUCAGCAGGGAAGAAGCGAAAGUGACGGUACCUGCAGAAGAAGCGCCGGCUAACUACGUGCCAGCAGCCGCGGUAAUACGUAGGGCGCAAGCGUUGUCCGGAAUUAUUGGGCGUAAAGAGCUCGUAGGCGGCUUGUUGCGUCGGUUGUGAAAGCCCGGGGCUUAACCCCGGGUCUGCAGUCGAUACGGGCAGGCUAGAGUGUGGUAGGGGAGAUCGGAAUUCCUGGUGUAGCGGUGAAAUGCGCAGAUAUCAGGAGGAACACCGGUGGCGAAGGCGGAUCUCUGGGCCAUUACUGACGCUGAGGAGCGAAAGCGUGGGGAGCGAACAGGAUUAGAUACCCUGGUAGUCCACGCCGUAAACGUUGGGAACUAGGUGUUGGCGACAUUCCACGUCGUCGGUGCCGCAGCUAACGCAUUAAGUUCCCGCCUGGGAGUACGGCCGCAGGCUAAACGUCAAAUGAAUUGACGG
rnacentral:rRNA from 1 species